UUGUGGAAGAGCGAGGACUCGAAGAGGGAGGACCGGCGGGAGUGAUCUGAUUCGGCGGAGCAGAAACCAAAUGGGAGUGAUCUGAUUCGUCGGAGCAGAAACCAAAAUCUUAAUCUCCAUUCUCAAGAACUCUCCUCCUAGGGUUUUACAAUGCUUCUCCUCCCCACUUUUCUCCGCCCCCUUCCCGAUUUUCCGUUGCGGGAUCUCACUAGGACGUGGAUCCAAACCAUCCUCAAGGAUCGAUCCGCCUCCUUCCGAUGUUUCUUCCAUUGCUCGUGAAUUGUUGAUGAAGGGUAAAAUUCAGAAGUCGUCUCUUGCUAUCUGCAUCUUUAUGGCAUAACCGAUGUCUGGAGCUUUCGUUGUAGGCGAUGGGUGUGAUAUGCAUUUCCUCAGCUCCAUGAAGGUCACAAAUUAAGCAGAUUUCAGUUCUGUGAGGACAUUUCUAUGGAAUUCUUCAUGGGCAUCAGAUAGAAUAGCAGGAACUGCAGCCUGUUCCAAGAUUUCACAGGUGUAAUGAUGGGUACUGAGCUUGCUAUAACAUGUUUGAUGAAAUGAUCAGUGAGAAGCUGCUCCCGCGUUAACAGUCAAGAGCAUCUCAGUUGCCAUCCUUACCUGUCCCAGUGACAGGGAACCAAAGGACAAAGAGGUCAGCGACGCAGUGUGUAACUCUGGGAUUAAUCUCAAGUGUUUGAAUCCCUUACGUGCAUCAGAAUCCCACAGGGAUCGCACAUGGCUACCCAUCCGAGACGCCAACCGCUUCGACAGUGAUCCGAUGGUGAUAACCGGCGACAGGUGAGCGAACGAGGCCAUGGGAACGAAACCUGCUUCCGCCAAAGACGAAAGCUCGUACGUUCUCGCCGGCGUGGUGAAGAUCUGAUGUGCCAUCAGCAUCUGAUGAUGUUACAGCCUUUGGAUCACGUUAUAGUAUAUACAUAGUCUACAGUGUUAUGAGCUAAUUACAAAUUAUCUAAUUAAUCAGACCUUGUUAACAUCCUGAUUUUUAAAAUUAAAAAAUUUAUAUUGUAAUCUUUAAAAUAUCUAAUUUUAUUUAUCCUAAUGUUGUCAAUUAUAUAAUGAAAAUAAAGGAUACAAAGAUAAUCUUAACGUUUUAGUUGAUGAUGAUAGACGAUAUUGGUGGCGAACGAUGAUAUCGUUGGAGAUUGCGGGUGGCUAUUAUGGAUGAGGAGAGUGAUGGUGAAAGAUGAGGGCCACUUUGUAUUUGC